UGAAACCCAGUGCUUGCAUUGGGAAGUAAAGUGGCGAACGGGUGAGUAACACGUUGGUGACCUACCCCGAGGUGGGGGACAACCGUGGGAAACCACGGCUAAUACCCCAGAUGUUGAGGAGUCUAGACGCCCUCAACUAAAGUUCCGACGCCUCGGGAGGGGCCUGCGGGCUAUCAGCUUGUUGGUGGGGUAACGGCCUACCAAGGCUCAGACGGCUAGGGGGCGUGAGAGCGCGACCCCCCACAAUGGAACUGAGACACGGUCCAUACUCCUACGGGAGGCAGCAGUGAGGAAUAUUGCGCAAUGGGGGCAACCCUGACGCAGCAACGCCGCGUGGAUGAUGAAGGCCUUCGGGUUGUAAAAUCCUUUUCUGGGGGACGAUAAUGACGGUACCUCAGGAAUAAGUCCCGGCUAACUACGUGCCAGCAGCCGCGGUAAAACGUAGGGGGCGAGCGUUAUCCGGAUUUAUUGGGCGUAAAGCGCGCGUAGGCGGCACUGUAAGUUGGGCGUGAAAGCUCUCGGCUUAACUGAGAGAGGUCGUUCAAAACUACAGUGAUUGAGGUUGGAAGAGGAGAGUGGAAUUCCCGGUGUAGUGGUGGAAUGCGUAGAUAUCGGGAGGAACACCAGUGGCGAAAGCGACUCUCUGGUCCACACCUGACGCUGAGGUGCGAAAGCGUGGGUAGCGAACGGGAUUAGAUACCCCGGUAGUCCACGCCGUAAACGAUGGAUACUAGGUGUAGGAGGUUAUUUACCCCUUCUGUGCCAAAGCUAACGCGUUAAGUAUCCCGCCUGGGGACUACGACCGCAAGGUUAAAACUCAAAGGAAUUGACGGGGGCCCGCACAAGCAGCGGAGCGUGUG
rnacentral:rRNA from 1 species